UACGGAGGGUGCAAGCGUUAUCCGGAUUCACUGGGUUUAAAGGGCUCGUAGGCGGCCAACUAAGUCGGAUGUGAAAUCCCCAGGCUUAACCUGGGAACUGCAUCCGAUACUGGAUGGCUUGAAUCCGGGAGAGGGAUGCGGAAUUCCAGGUGUAGCGGUGAAAUGCGUAGAUAUCUGGAGGAACACCGGUGGCGAAGGCGGCAUCCUGGACCGGCAUUGACGCUGAGGAGCGAAAGCCAGGGGAGCAAACGGG
rnacentral:rRNA from 1 species